rnacentral:lncRNA from 1 species
AAUGAUCCUAAAAGGAUGGAUAUAUUGAAUGGAUGGAGAAUGUUCCUCCUAAUGGAGAGUUUAGGCAAAAAUGUCCUUUGCUUUCUCUUUCAAGACAAAUCUCCCUUUUCAGGGAGCAUGGCUCCAAAGCCAGCUACAGACUGCUGGCUUGCACAGUCCCUUCCUGUCCCCUGAGCCUGCUCCAACCUCCUUGGAACAGAAGAGCUCUGGGUCUGGCCCUGGUGCGGGAUGUGGCUGGCUUUCCAAGUUGGAAAAUGUGUUAGUAAUUACUUUUUACUGCUGUCUCCAUUUGAAUUUCCAGACCUCUCCCUCCCUCUCCCAGCCUAUGUUUCUCCGUCCAGCUUCCUACCUCAUUCUGGCUGCUAAUUUAACCCUGGCUCCUUUCCUCCAGAAACAUUUGACCUUGUGCAAGAACUUGGCAUCAAUUUCUCUCCUCCUACUUCCCCAGAAGGGAAGCGCCAGGCGAGGGUAAUUAGCAUGAGCAGGCAGCCCUGCCAGACCGCCUGCCUCUUGUCCUCUGGGCUCUGCCUGGUACAACAGCAGCCCCCUUUCUCCAGGCAAAAGGGCAGUGGCCACUAGUUGCCAGUUGCCAGGAGACCUUUUCCAACAUUUUGCUUCAAGAUGGUGUUACCAGGGAUGUAAACUAAGCCCAAUUAGCUCAUUUAGUGAGGUAACCUAUAAUAAAGGAGAAAAGGCAAAAGCACUGAAAUUCCUUGGUUCACAUAUCCCUGCAUUAUUAUUUUUAAUUUCUUUAUUGAAGUAUAGUUGAUUUACAAUGUUCCUUCAAUUUCUGCUGUACAGCAAAGUGACCAGCAUACAUAUAUAUACACUUUCUUUUUUUUUCACACUAUCUUCCAUCACAUUAUAACCCAAGAGAUUGGACAGAGUUACCUGUGCUGUACAGUAGGACCCCAUUGCUUAUCCAUUCUAAAUGUAAUAGCUUGCAUCUACCAACCCCAAACUCCUCAUCCAUCUCACUCCCUUCCCCUCCCCCCAUACGCCCCACCAACAACAGGUCUGCUCUCCAGGUCCGUGAUCUGUUUCUGCUUUGUAGACAGGAUCAUUUGUGCCAUAUUUUAGAUUUCACAUAUAAGUGAUAUCAUGUGGUAUUUGUCUUUCUCUUUCUGACUUACUUCACUUAGUAUGAGAAUCUCUAGUUGCAUCUAUGUUGCUGCAAAUAGCAUUAUUUUGUACUACCCAGACAAAAAAAUGCACAUAUCCCUGCUUUAGAUUUGAAAUGACUCUAUUGGUUUUUCUUAUCAAGAAAGGUUAUUCUAUGUCAAUUGAUAAUCUGGAAAGGAUUAUAAAGAAGAGUCAUUUUACCUGUUUAAGAGAACAAAUUUUGCAAUCACUUAAAUGCCCAUUUCUUCUUGAAGUUGAUAAGCUAAUUACAUACCACUUUUAUCUCCCUAUUAAUUAAGUCCCCAAGGAAGAUUAUAGGGUAUAUUUUGUAACUAAAAUGCUAGCAUAUAUGUACUUGAAAAUAACGCUACUUCAGUUUUUUAAUAAUCCACAAUUCCACAUUUUCAUUAAUUCAGUCCUACCUUUAUUACACUGAAUGAAUGGGUUUCAUGUUAUGUUUGUGAAUGUGUUUUUGAAGUUUACAGAAGAGAACUAUCUUUGUAAAAUAGAUACAAAGUUUUAUAAAACUAUCUUUGUAAAAUAGAUCCUUUGGGUUAUAAGGAUUCAAUAGCAAGCUAGAAAUUGGUUGAAUAGAGAUGGAAUAGAAAUUACAGAUACGAACAUUGACUCUACUCAUUACUAAAUACAUUCUGUACCACCCAGACCAUGAAGUACAAAAUACAUUGUACAAAUACACAUGCACAUAAAUACCAUGUAUAUAUAUAAUAUGUUUAUGUACAAAAUGCACAGUAUGAAACUGUGGAUAAGCCAUCCUAUCUCUAUUUAUUGGGCAGGAGGAAGUAGCAACUGUAUGAGUCCAGUUGACGAGCCUCUAUGUAUUGGAGAUGCACGUCCAGAGAUGGGUUCCUCAAUAUAGUUUCCACCUCGCAGAUAAGUGAAAACUGAGACUGUUCCCUAAUAGUGUUAUUUUCCCUGACCCCUGUCGAAGGGCUGGUUCCUUAAUUAAGCACAGGUUUCCAGUAAUGAAGUACACACGAACGUCCAAAAGAGAGUGGAUGUGAGAACAAGAACAUUUGCUCUGGAGCUGACGCCCUGGCUCUAGCUGUGGGGCUGUCAAAAUGUAAUUUUUAAUAAGGAAAAAACUUGACUCUUAUGCAAACAUGCAAACAGCAUGGAUGUCAAAAUUUAUUUAACCCAUAUAAUACUGGUUUAAGAAUUUGAGAGGCUAAAGAUAGAUAGAUAAUGUCUCUCUGAAAUUAUAUUUUCUACUGAAUAAAAACCAUUUGCAUUUUUAUCAGACAAAAAUCUACAAGUUAACCUAUAGUUUCAUAGAGUUUAGUGCUAAUAAAUAGUAAAUAGUAAGCCAAACAAAAGUACAUUCUUUCAGAGAAUUAACAAUCUGUGGGCUCUGGUUAGAUAAAGCUCCAGUAUAAUGUUAAGAGGACAAACUGACUUAUUUUUGCCUUCUUUUCAUGUUUGGGAUAAGUUUUUUUAACAAGACUUAGGGUAAAUUACCUUGAAUCUCUCUUAACCCCACUGCCUUUGUUUGAAAAGUGGGCAUAACAAUAUUUACAUUAUAGGAUUGCUGUAGGAUUUAAAUGAAAUUGCAUAUCGAAAGUACCUCUCACAACACCUCAAUAAAUGGUAAUUCCCUUCUCUGUGUGUAUUCCUUUUAUUCCAUAUUAUCUGACAUUUUGCCAGUCAGAUCUCUUGCAAUUGGCACUUCCUUCCCGUUGUGGCGCAGUGGUUAACAAAUCCAACUAGGAACCAUGAGGUUGCAGGAUCGAUCAUGGCCUUGCUCAGUGGGUUAAGGAUCUGGCGUUGCCGUGAGCUGUGGUGUAGGUCACAGAUGUCACUCGGAUCCCACAUUGCUGUGGCUGUGGUAUAGGCUGGUAGCUGUAGAUCUGAUUAGACCCCUAGCC